CCUACGGGUGGCAGCAGUGGGGAAUAUUGGACAAUGGGCGAAAGCCUGAUCCAGCCAUGCCGCGUGUGUGAAGAAGGCCUUCGGGUUGUAAAGCACUUUCAGUGGGGAAGAAAGCCUUGGGGCUAAUACCCUCGAGGAAGGACAUCACCCACAGAAGAAGCACCGGCUAACUCCGUGCCAGCAGCCGCGGUAAUACGGAGGGUGCGAGCGUUAAUCGGAAUUACUGGGCGUAAAGCGCGCGUAGGCGGUCUGAUAAGCCGGUUGUGAAAGCCCCGGGCUCAACCUGGGAACGGCAUCCGGAACUGUCAUGCUAGAGUGCAGGUGAGGAAGGUAGAAUUCGCGGUGUAGCGGUGAAAUGCGUAGAGAUCGGGAGGAAUACCAGUGGCGAAGGCGGCCUUCUGGACUGACACUGACGCUGAUGUGCGAAAGCGUGGGUAGCAAACAGGAUUAGAUACCCGUGUAGUC
rnacentral:rRNA from 1 species